rnacentral:rRNA from 1 species
AGUGAACGCUGGCGGCAGGCCUAAUACAUGCAAGUCGAACGGCAGCACAGCAGAGCUUGCUCUGUGGGUGGCGAGUGGCGGACGGGUGAGGAAUACAUGGGAAUCUGCCCAGUCGUGGGGGAUAACGUAUGGAAACGUACGCUAAUACCGCAUGCGCCCUACGGGGGAAAGCCGGGGACCGCAAGGCCUGGCGCGAUUGGAUGAGCCCAUGUUCGAUUAGCUAGUUGGCGGGGUAAAGGCCCACCAAGGCGACGAUCGAUAGCUGGUCUGAGAGGAUGAUCAGCCACACUGGAACUGAGACACGGUCCAGACUCCUACGGGAGGCAGCAGU